rnacentral:rRNA from 1 species
AACGUAGGACGCAAGCGUUAUCCGGAGUUAUUGGGCGUAAAGCGCUCGCAGGUGGUCCGUUGCGUCGUGCGUGAAAGACCCCGGCUCAACCGGGGAGGGUCGUGCGAUACGGGCGGACUGGAGGCCAGUAGGGGGAUGCGGAAUUCCGGGUGUAGUGGUGGAAUGCGCAGAUAUCAGGAGGAACACCGGUGGCGAAGGCGGGUCUCUGGGCAGUAACUGACGCUGAGGAGCGAAAGCGUGGGGAGCGAACAGG